UACGAAGGGUGCAAGCGUUACUCGGAAUUACUGGGCGUAAAGCGUGCGUAGGUGGUUCGUUAAGUCUGUCGUGAAAGCCCCGGGCUCAACCUGGGAAUGGCGAUGGAUACUGGCGGGCUAGAGUGCGGUAGAGGGUGGUGGAAUUCCCGGUGUAGCAGUGAAAUGCGUAGAGAUCGGGAGGAACAUCAGUUGCGAAGGCGACUACCUGGCCUGUUCUUGACGCUGAGGCGCGAAAGCUAGGGGAGCAAACGGG
rnacentral:rRNA from 1 species